UCGAUGAUACGCGAGGAACCUUACCUGGGCUACAAUGCCUCUGAUCGGCGCCGAAAGGUGUUUUCUCUUCGGAGCAGAGUGCAAGGUGCUGCAUGGUUGUCGUCAGCUCGUGCCGUGAGGUGUUGGGUUAAGUCCCGCAACGAGCGCAACCCCUAGCUUUAGUUGCCAGCAUUACGGAUGGGGACUCUAGAGCGACUGCCUCCGCAAGGAGUGAGGAAGGAGGGGACGACGUCAAAUCAUCAUGGCCCUUACGCCCAGGGCGACACACGUGCUACAAUGGACGGUACAGAGGGUAGCAAGCCUGUGAAGGUGAGCCAAUCUCAAAAAGCCGUUCUCAGUUCGGAUCGGAGUCUGCAACUCGACCCCGUGAAGUCGGAAUCGCUAGUAAUCGCAGAUCAGCCAUGCUGCGGUGAAUACGUUCCCGGGCCUUGUACACACCGCCCGUCAAGCCAUGGAAGCCGGGGGCGCCUGAAGCCAGCCGUCAAAAGCUGUCUAGGGCGAAACUGGUAACUGGGGCUAAGUCGUAACAAGGUAACCAAGGGCGAA
rnacentral:rRNA from 1 species